rnacentral:rRNA from 1 species
UGGCGGCGUGCCUAAUACAUGCAAGUCGAACGCAUCCCGUUGAAUUGAAGUGCUUGCACUGAUAUUCAACAUCGGAUGAGUGGCGAACUGGUGAGUAACACGUGGGUAACCUGCCCAGAAGCGGGGGAUAACACUUGGAAACAGGUGCUAAUACCGCAUAACAACAAAAACCGCAUGGUUUUUGUUUGAAAGAUGGUUUCGGCUAUCACUUCUGGAUGGACCCGCGGCGUAUUAGCUAGUUGGUGGAGUAAUGGUUCACCAAGGCAAUGAUACGUAGCCGACCUGAGAGGGUAAUCGGCCACAUUGGGACUGAGACACGGCCCAAACUCCUACGGGAGGCAGCAGUAGGGAAUCUUCCACAAUGGACGAAAGUCUGAUGGAGCAACGCCGCGUGAGUGAAGAAGGCUUUAGGGUCGUAAAACUCUGUUGUUGAAGAAGAACGUGUGUGAGAGUAACUGUUCACACAGUGACGGUAUUCAACCAGAAAGCCACGGCUAACUACGUGCCAGCAGCCGCGGUAAUACGUAGGUGGCAAGCGUUGUCCGGAUUUAUUGGGCGUAAAGCGAGCGCAGGCGGUUUCUUAAGUCUGAUGUGAAAGCCUUCGGCUUAACCGGAGAAGUGCAUCGGAAACUGGGAGACUUGAGUGCANAAGAGGACAGUGGAACUCCAUGUGUAGCGGUGAAAUGCGUANAUAUAUGGAAGANCACCAGUGGCGAANGCGGCUGUCUGGUCUGUAACUGACNCUGAAGCUCGAAGCAUGGGUAGCGAACAGGAUUANAUACCUGGUAGUCNUGCCGUAACNAUGAGUGCUANUGUUGGAGGNUUCCNCCUNCAUGCUGCACUACCAUUAGCCUCCCCUGGGGNUNCACNCAGGUNAACUNAAGAUUNACGGGCCCCCACNGNGACUGGGUUAUUCAACUCCGAAACUNCGGCUGNUUNGCUACUAAAAUAGCUUCCNCGGANAUACGGGGAGNUCCCNCCGNCGNANUGGUANCCCCCNCNCUU